UUUGUACAAUAAGAGAUGAGGUGUAAAGGUGCCUUGUGUUGGACAGGUGUACAGCUUAAUUAUUAUUGAGUGAGUGCUCAUAGAAGGUGGAAAGCCUGUAGAGUUGUGUCUACCUGUUCAACCGCGACACUGAAGAGUCUAGUUGUUUGAGAGUACAACUUAAAGUUGGUGGUAAAUUUCAUCAAAGGCUAAAUAUAUGAGGGGACUAAUAGCGAACAAGUACCAUGAGGGAAAGUUGAAAAGAACUCUGACGAGAGAGUUAAAUAGUACGUGAAACCAUAUUGAGUAAAACAGAUAACUGUGUCGUUAUGCGGUGCGCCUAUCAACAGCAAAUUUGGUGUUGUGAUACCAUGAGUGUAGGCUGUCUAUUCAGCUGAUUGCCCGUGGUUAGCAUAGCCGGAGGUUCUGUGUACUAGUGCGCAUCCAAUCAUUGAGAAACUAUGCUGCCGCGGCAUCGGUGUACUUCAGUCCGUACCUAGUGCGAAGUUGUACGCUGGGCUCAGCUGGCGGCGUAGUUUAGCCGUGUGACGGCUGUGGACUGCGUUUGCUGAACGUCGCUGCUCUGUCUGCGAAUCGGUUAAUUCCUUUUUGCGGUAAGUAUGCGGUCGGUAGGCAAGUGGUCCGCCAUCAAUGGUUGACAUUAGUUAUUUGACCCGUCUUGAAACACGGACCAAGGAGUUCAAAUGGCACGCGAGUCAUUGGGUUUAGACACCCGAAGGCGAAGUGAAAUGCAAACGUAUUGUUAUUUGUGGUUUUACCAUGAUGAAGCGAUAAGCUACUCAUGCUUUCUGGCAUUUGUAGACUACAAGCGUGAUGUUUGAGACCCGAAAGAUGGUGACCUAUGCCUAGUCAAGAUGAAGCCAGAGGAAACUCUGGUGGAUGUCUGAAGUUGUUCUGACGUGCAAAUCGAUAAUCUGAUCUGGGUAUAGGGGCGAAAGACUAAUCGAACCAUCUAGUAGCUGGUUCCUUCCGAAGUUUCCCUCAGGAUAGCAAGCGUACAUGAUUUAGUUUCAUCCCGUAAAGCGAAUGAUUAGAGGCCUUGGGGCGUAUAUAGCCUCAACCUAUUCUCAAACUUUUAAUGGGUGUGAGCUGUUCUUUCUUGAUUGAAGAACGCUGCUAAAUAAGUAUGCUUAGUGGGCCAUUUUUGGUAAGCAGAACUGGCGCUGUGGGUUGAACCAAUUGUUGAGUUAAAGUGCCUAAAGCUCGAAUGCGCAUGAGAUCUAUAAAGGGUGUUGGUUGCUGAAGACAGCAGG
rnacentral:rRNA from 1 species